CAGUCGCCGCGGGAAUACAGAGGGUGCAAGCGUUAAUCGGAAUUACUGGGCGUAAAGCGCGCGUAGGUGGUUUGUUAAGUUGGAUGUGAAAUCCCCGGGCUCAACCUGGGAACUGCAUCCAAAACUGGCAAGCUAGAGUAUGGUAGAGGGUGGUGGAAUUUCCUGUGUAGCGGUGAAAUGCGUAGAUAUAGGAAGGAACACCAGUGGCGAAGGCGACCACCUGGACUGAUACUGACACUGAGGUGCGAAAGCGUGGGGAGCAAACAGGAUUAGAUACCCGCGUAGUCCCUGUCUCUUAUAU
rnacentral:rRNA from 1 species